UGUCAUGGUCGUGCUCUCUUGU
rnacentral:miRNA from 1 species